UAACGCGUGGGAACCUGCCUAGUGGUAGGGAAUAACUGCGGGAAACUGCAGCUAAUACCCUAUGAGCCCUACGGGGGAAAGAUUUAUCGCCAUUAGAGGGGCCCGCGUCGGAUUAGCUAGUUGGUAGGGUAACGGCCUACCAAGGCAACGAUCCGUAGCUGGUCUGAGAGGAUGAUCAGCCACACUGAGACUGAGAUACGGCCCAGACUCCUACGGGAGGCAGCAGUGGGGAAUAUUGGACAAUGGGGGAAACCCUGAUCCAGCAAUGCCGCGUGAGUGAAGAAGGCCUUAGGGUUGUAAAGCUCUUUCGGCGGGGACGAUGGUGACGGUACCCGCAGAAGAAGCCCCGGCUAACUUCGUGCCAGCAGCCGCGGUAAUACGAAGGGGGCUAGCGUUGUUCGGAAUCACUGGGCGUAAAGGGCGCGUAGGCGGCGCGACAAGUCAGGUGUGAAAGCCCCGGGCUCAACCCGGGAAUUGCACUUGAUACUGUCGUGCUAGAGUCCGGGAGAGGAUGGCGGAAUUCCCAGUGUAGAGGUGAAAUUCGUAGAUAUUGGGAAGAACACCGGUGGCGAAGGCGGCCAUCUGGACCGGCACUGACGCUGAGGCGCGAAAGCGUGGGGAGCAACAGGAUUAGAUACCCUGGUAGUCCACGCCGUAAACGAU
rnacentral:rRNA from 1 species